CUCUCGUGUUCUUGGGUCUGCUCCUAAGUCUUUAGUGCCAUUCAAAGUCCGUGUGCAUUCUUAGACACCUGUGCUAUAAGGAUAUUGGCUCUAAUAUCAAACCGAGGAAUGUGUACUGCUUGAGAGGCUUGACAGCACUGUUUGGAGAGGGACUGGGGCAGUUUGGGAGAUCUGUUGCUAUGAAAACCCAUUAAUGAUUAUCCUCUAAAAAGCACAGCAAAUUCCAUAGCAGGGUAAAGGCCUUCCUAUUGGAUUACCACAUUCAGUUCCCAGGGACUAGACACGCUGUGCCAUGUAACGUAUUUUACAUUGCUAGGGAGUUAUUGGAGCCUGAGGAUAGCAGCAUUUUUCUGCCUUCUGACUAUUGUGCUGACAGAUAGUUUUUGCUAUUACAUUUAUUUGGAAAGGAAAAUAAGCAAAUGCAAACAUUCAGAGUUGUUUUCCUCCUUCAGAUUUAAAAACAGAAUUUUUCCCUCAUAUUGUUCUACACUGAAAUGUGACAUAGUAAAGCUGUCUAGAGCCACAGUCUGUCCUGUCUUGAGAAAAAAAUAACAUCACCUCCGAGUGAAGCAAAUAAAAACUGGACUCCUUCCACUGGAUGGGAACCAAAGAGCUGCAAUUUUCAGUUCCAGGAUUUUCUGACAGCUUCUAUUGCCAUACGGCCCUGCGUGGGACAGGACAGUGUCGCAUGUGAGGAAAGGCAGACAGACAACAGAGGGAACCAGGCAGCUGAGCGAUAUACGUGUUUUAAAUGGACAAGAGAUUCGUGAUGUUCAGACACUGCCUCCUCUGUCACAUGGAUUACAGUCUGGCAUCCACAAAGUUAGCACGGACUCUGUUUUUGUUAGGCUCUGCAGUAUCACUGCACUUUAGAAAUUAAAAAAUGAAAAUAUGAGAUCUUUUUUCUUCAAAUCUUUCUGAAAGAGAAACAUCUAUCGCAAUGGUAUGGGGGAUGGCGCUGCCACUGGCAGCAAGGGAAGCUCUGCAUGCCACAAGCACGCAGGGCAGUGCCAGCAGUUUCAGUGCCACACAGCGGGCACUCACAGACUGCUGGCUUUUAGCUUUGUCUCUCAAAACUUAUCGCAGCGUGGCAACGUCACACAGCACCACACACCCUGCUGGGGACGAAGUCAGAAAGGCAUGGAGUGCGGUACACUCUCACAACCCCAUUUUAUGUAAUUGUGUAAAAGGUUCAAAUAACAAUAAAAGCAAGAAAGCAUUUUAAGAAAAACUACCUAAGCUUAGAAAUAGUCUUGUUGACAAUUCUGUGACAUUUCUGGCCAGGUCAUUAUUUUGAGGUACAAAUCUUCUACCACAUUCUCUUUGUAGACAAGGCAGGGAAAUGCACAGCCAAUAUAAACAAAUUUUUAAGUAUUCAUUACAAAACAGGCCAGAGAAAUUUCUUUUUAACCUGUAUUUCUAAGCUGAGAACAAUAUGGAUG
rnacentral:lncRNA from 7 species